rnacentral:rRNA from 1 species
GUGUUAUAUGUGUCACACGGGACGUGCCGGUUUUAAGCCGGAGGAAGCGGGGAUGACGUCAAGUCAGCAUGGCCUUUAUAUCCUGGGCUACACACACGCUACAAUGGUCUGUACAAUAGGUUGCCAAGCCGCGAGGCGGAGCCAAUCCAAAAAAGCAGGCCUCAGUUCAGAUUGUAGUCUGCAACCCGACUGCAUGAAGAUGGAGUUGCUAGUAACCGCAGGUCAGCUAUACUGCGGUGAAUACGUUCCCGGGUCUU